rnacentral:lncRNA from 10 species
AGUUGCUGCCCACGCUCUUCUGUCAAUUGCAUAUCCUGCCCAGUGGUGCCAGCAGAUAAUGUCUCAGGAAGCUGAGGACAUGGUGACAGCACUUUAAGCAUCUCGAGGGACUGGGCACUUGGGAGGCCAAAACUUCAUGAAUCGAGUCUUGCUCGACUUUCCAUGAUGGGAAUUCAGACCCCGAGGCUCAGAGGGUGCCUCGCUGGAACUUAACGUGAGGGGAGCCAGUGUGGUCUGUGGAGGCUCCUUUGAGCAGGUGACAUCUGAGCUGCCCUCUGAAGAUAACAAGGAUCCAGACAUGACGGGGAGAAGGAGACGCUGCAGGCAGAGGACAAAGUUAAGGACGCAGUACUCCUCCCCUCUGAAGGGCACAGCAACAAGGCGCCACCGUGGAAGCAGGGUCCAGGCCCUCACCUGACAUGAAGCCUGCCAGGACCUUGAUCUUGGACA